UGACGUUAUCCACAAUCUCGAUCGUGUUCUGCUCAGAAACAUUAACAUGAGAAUUUUCCUAAGUGAAUUCAUCUGGGCAGAAGAUACAAAAGCCUGAAAGCACGUUCCACCGGGCUGAAGGACAGCUUCUAUCCCACUGUUAUCAGACUAUUUAAUGGCUCCCAGCUUUAAUUGCAUUCCUCACACUCCUGGCAUUUAUCAACUGGAGAAUAUUCUCCGUAUUUUGGGAAUCCUCAGGAGUGGAAUUUGAAAGCACCUUCCGCUCGUUUCUGCAGAGUGUGUCAGCCAUGGAAACUGAGAAUUCAGAGGUCUACAAGUGCAAUAUAAAUGUAUUGAGCCUCCUCCGCGUAAAAAUGGAGGUACCCAUCAACUGGGCAACAGCAAAGCAACUCAUCGGCAGCGCACAACAAGCGAUAAAGCCACAGCAGGACAGGGGCUUGUUUCACCACCGCUGUCGUGUUUUGUUUUGUUGUGUCUGUGUUGUUGUGCUGAAUAUUGUUGGUGCUGUAAUGUGUGACGCCCUGUUUCAAUGCACAUGUGAAAAAUAAAGCGAACC